rnacentral:rRNA from 1 species
AGUGAACGCUGGCGGUAGGCCUAACACAUGCAAGUCGAACCGCAGCACAGUAAGAGCUUGCUCUUACGGGUGGCGAGUGGCGGACGGGUGGGGAAUACAUCGGAAUCUACUUUUUCGUGGGGGAUAACGUAGGGAAACUUACGCUAAUACCGCAUACGACCUACGGGUGAAAGCAGGGGAUCUUCGGACCUUGCGCGAUUGAAUGAGCCGAUGUCGGAUUAGCUAGUUGGCGGGGUAAAGGCCCACCAAGGCGACGAUCCGUAGCUGGUCUGAGAGGAUGAUCAGCCACACUGGAACUGAGACACGGUCCAGACUCCUACGGGAGGCAGCAGUGGGGAAUAUUGGACAAUGGGCGCAAGCCUGAUCCAGCCAUACCGCGUGGGUGAAGAAGGCCUUCGGGUUGUAAAGCCCUUUUGUUGGGAAAGAAAAGCAGCAGGUUAAUACCCCGCUGUUCUGACGGUACCCAAAGAAUAAGCACCGGCUAACUUCGUG